CAGCAGCCGCGGUAAUACAGAGGGUGCAAGCGUUAAUCGGAUUUACUGGGCGUAAAGGGCGCGUAGGUGGUUAUGUAAGUGAGAUGUGAAAUCCCCGGGCUCAACCUGGGAACUGCAUCUUAUACUGCGUAGCUGGAGUGCAGUAGAGGGUAGUGGAAUUUCCGGUGUAGCGGUGAAAUGCGUAGAGAUGUGGAGGAACACCAGUGGCGAAGGCGACUCUCUGGUCUGUAACUGACGCUGAGGAGCGAAAGCGUGGGGAGCGAACAGGAUUAGAUACCCCGGUAGUCCCUGUCUCUUAUAC
rnacentral:rRNA from 1 species